UUAGUGGCGGACGGGUGAGUAACGCGUGGAAAACCUGCCGUAUACUGGGGGAUAACACUUAGAAAUAGGUGCUAAUACCGCAUAAGCGCACAGCUUCGCAUGAAGCGGUGUGAAAAACUCNGGUGGUAUACGAUGGUUCCGCGUCUGAUUAGCUAGUUGGUGGGGUAAUGGCCUACCAAGGCAACGAUCAGUAGCCGGCCUGAGAGGGUGAACGGCCACAUUGGGACUGAGACACGGCCCAAACUCCUACGGGAGGCAGCAG
rnacentral:rRNA from 1 species